CCCGCCGGACCUGACUGCUAUCGGAUUGAUACUAAGCCAUGCGAGUCAUUGUAGUAAUACAAGGCAUACGGCUCAGUAACGCGUAGUCAACCUAACCUAUGGACGGGAAUAACCUCGGGAAACUGAGUAUAAUGCCCGAUAGAACAUUAUGCCUGGAAUGGUUUAUGUUCCAAAUGAUUUAUCGCCGUAGGAUGGGACUGCGGCCUAUCAGUUUGUUGGUGAGGUAAUGGCCCACCAAGACUAUUACAGGUACGGGCUCUGAGAGGAGUAGCCCGGAGAUGGGUACUGAGACACGGACCCAGGCCCUAUGGGGCGCAGCAGGCGAGAAAACUUUGCAAUGUGCGAAAGCACGACAAGGUUAAUCCGAGUGGUUUCUGCUAAAGGAACCUUUUGUUAGUCCUAGAAACACUAACGAAUAAGGGGUGGGCAAGUUCUGGUGUCAGCCGCCGCGGUAAAACCAGCACCUCAAGUGGUCAGGAUGAUUAUUGGGCCUAAAGCAUCCGUAGCCGGAUCUGUAAGUUUUCGGUUAAAUCUGUACGCUCAACGUACAGGCUGCCGGGAAUACUGCAGAUCUAGGGAGUGGGAGAGGUAGACGGUACUCGGGAGGAAGGGGUAAAAUCCUUUGAUCUCUCGAUGACCACCUGUGGCGAAGGCGGUCUACCAGAACACGUCCGACGGUGAGGGAUGAAAGCUGGGGGAGCAAACCGGAUUAGAUACCCGGGUAGUCCCAGCUGUAAACUAUGCAAACUCAGUGAUGCAUUGACUUGUGGUCAAUGCAGUGCUGCAGGGAAGCCGUUAAGUUUGCCGCCUGGGAAGUACGUACGCAAGUAUGAAACUUAAAGGAAUUGGCGGGGGAGCACCACAAGGGGUGAAGCCUGCGGUUCAAUUGGAUUCAACGCCGGG
rnacentral:rRNA from 1 species